UCUACGGGUGGCAGCAGUGAGGAAUAUUGGUCAAUGGACGAGAGCCUGCACCAGCCAAGUCGCGUGAGGGAAGACGGUCCUAUGGAUUGUAAACCUCUUUUGUCCGGGAGUAAGGAGCGCCACGAGUAGUGCGGCGAGAGUACCUGAAGAAAAAGCAUCGGCUAACUCCGUGCCAGCAGCCGCGGUAAUACGGAGGAUGCGGGCGUUAUUCGGAUUUAUUGGGUUUAAAGGGUGCGCAGGCGGAAGGGAAAAGUCAGCGGUAAAAUUGGGGGGCUCAACCUCGCCGAGCCGUUGAAACUGCGCUUCUAGAGUGGGCGAGAAGUAUGCGGAAUGCGGGGUGUAGCGGUGA
rnacentral:rRNA from 1 species